AACGAACGCUGGCGGCAUGCCUAACACAUGCAAGUCGAACGAGACCUUCGGGUCUAGUGGCGCACGGGUGCGUAACGCGUGGGAACCUGCCCUUAGGUUCGGAAUAACUCCCCGAAAGGGGUGCUAAUACCGGAUAAUGUCUUCGGACCAAAGAUUUAUCGCCUUUGGAUGGGCCCGCGUUGAAUUAGCUAGUUGGUAGGGUAAAAGCCUACCAAGGCGACGAUCCAUAGCUGGUCUGAGAGGAUGAUCAGCCACACUGGGACUGAGACACGGCCCAGACUCCUACGGGAAGCAGCAGUGGGGAAUAUUGGACAAUGGGCGAAAGCCUGAUCCAGCAAUGCCGCGUGAGUGAUGAAGGCCUUAGGGUUGUGAAGCUCUUUUACCCGGGAUGAUAAUGACAGUACCGGGAGAAUAAGCUCCGGCUAACUCCGUG
rnacentral:rRNA from 1 species